rnacentral:rRNA from 1 species
UACGAAGGGGGCUAGCGUUGCUCGGAAUCACUGGGCGUAAAGCGCACGUAGGCGGAUCUUUAAGUCAGGGGUGAAAUCCUGGAGCUCAACUCCAGAACUGCCUUUGAUACUGGGGAUCUCGAGUUCGGGAGAGGUGAGUGGAACUGCGAGUGUAGAGGUGAAAUUCGUAGAUAUUCGCAAGAACACCAGUGGCGAAGGCGGCUCACUGGCCCGAUACUGACGCUGAGGCACGAAAGCGUGGGGAGCAAACAGG